UGGGGAAUUUUGGACAAUGGACGCAAGUCUGAUCCAGCCAUGCCGCGUGCAGGAUGGAGGCCUUCGGGUUGUAAACUGCUUUUGUACGGAGCGAAAAGGUUUCUCUUAAUACGAGGAGCUCAUGACGGUACCGUAAGAAUAAGCACCGGCUAACUACGUGCCAGCAGCCGCGGUAAUACGUAGGGUGCGAGCGUUAAUCGGAAUUACUGGGCGUAAAGCGUGCGCAGGCGGUUUUGUAAGACAGAUGUGAAAUCCCCGGGCUCAACCUGGGACCUGCAUUUGUGACUGCAAGGCUAGAGUACGGUAGAGGGGGAUGGGAUUCCGCGUGUAGCAGUGAAAUGCGUAGAUAUGCGGAGGAACACCGAUGGCGAAGGCAAUCCCCUGGACCUGUACUGACGCUCAUGCACGAAAGCGUGGGUAGCAAACA
rnacentral:rRNA from 1 species